CUUUCUUGCCAGGGGUGCGCCGAAUGGGGCGCUGAGAGGUGGCAUCGCCACCGACCCUUUGAACCUGAUCGGGUUAGUACCCGCGGAGGGAAUGAAGUGAAUACGGGAU
rnacentral:ncRNA from 2 species